ACCAGUGUGGUAUAGUGGUUUGAGUGUUGGACUAAGACUCUGGAGACCAGGGUUCAGUUCCCAGCUUGGUC
rnacentral:tRNA from 1 species